rnacentral:rRNA from 1 species
GACGAAUGCUGGCUGCGUGCUUAACACAUGCAAGUCGAACGGUGAAGGAGGGCUUGCCCUCCGGAUCAGUGGCGAACGGGUGAGUAACACGUGGGCAACCUGCCCCUCACUCUGGGAUAACGCCGGGAAACCGGCGCUAAUACCGGAUACGACCAGGCGCGACAUCUCGCCUGGUGGAAAGAAUUUCGGUGAGGGAUGGGCCCGCGGCCUAUCAGCUUGUUGGUGGGGUAACGGCCCACCAAGGCGACGACGGGUAGCCGGCCUGAGAGGGCGACCGGCCACACUGGGACUGAGACACGGCCCAGACUCCUACGGGAGGCAGCGGUGGGGAAUAUUGCGCAAUGGGCGAAAGCCUGACGCAGCGACGCAGCGUGAGGGACGAAGGCCUUCGGGUUGUAAACCUCUUUCAGCGGGGACGAAGCGAAAGUGACGGUACCCGCAGAAGAAGCACCGGCUAACUACGUGCCAGCCGCCGCAGUAA